UUAUCUAGAAGUUCCUUCAGAGUCCCAUUAUUCUUGACUGCAGUGACAAUAAACUGAUGAUUCUGGUGGCGACAACAUCCUAGCACUUCAACCAAGGGUUGUUUACUAUCAUCGUCCAUUUUUUCAGACAUUUGGCACAGAGUUAAAAUGGUAGCAAUGUAGAUGGGCGGAGCUACGAUGGCGCGAAAAGGGGCAGAGGUUGAGCAUGACAUUUUUUUUCAACUUCUUGUCGUAAUUUUGGGAAGAUUCGAACAUGUUUGGGAACUAUAAUUAUAUAUUAGAAUGAUGAAUAAGGGGUGUUCGGUUACAGGUAUAGAUAAAAUUGAGAAGAAAAAGAAAAUACAAAAUCGUUUAAUAAAUGGUAUUCCAAAAGUUGCUGACAUAGAGUUAAUUAUAAGCAAAACUUAAAAAAGGGAAAGUGCAAUAUCCAAAGUAUAUUACAUACUGUCCGGUAUAUGAAACUAGUCAAAAGAGCUUUAUGAUCUUAAAACCCCUAGUUUAAUUCAAUUCAUAUUAAAACAUAAAAGUUGAGGGGCAGAUAUACAAUUAUCUUAGAAUCCUGGGGCUAAAAAGGUGCUUUAAACGUUUUCAACAAAAUUGGAAAAUCGGCGCCAUUAUUCAAAACAAUUCAUUUUCAGACCUCUCUCUCUCUCUCUCCUCUCUCUCUCUCAUCAUACACACGCACAGUCGCAUAUUCUGGUUCAGUGACGUGUGCUGCUGAUUGAUCUGGUAACCUCGAUUUCAAAUUUACAAUUGUACUCCGAAUUGAUUUUCUUUUCUUCUGCUGAUAAUCGACUCAGUCAGUCAAAUUAGGGAUUGAUUUGGUGAAUUGAAGGAAGCAAUAUCAAAAGGUUUCUAAUCUGAAAAUUGAUAGUGAACGUAAUUGUACUUUCUGCACAAUUUUUUGUUCAACAGCUUAGGAAGAGGGAAACUGAUACUCGGCUUAAUUUUUUGGUUCUGUAUCCCCCAAUUUCAUCACAGGGAGGUAAAUUGCUUGAGCUGAUUUUUUUUUUUUGUUUGUUUGAUUAUUCUGAAAUGGUACCUGGGUAUUAUGUAGUUGGAAUAUUGUAUUUGUAUUUUCUCGUCAAAUUUAUUAUUUUGCUGGUUUCCAGUUUAUCUGAAUUUGGAUGUUUUUUUUUAUUAUUAUUAUUAGUAUUAUUUUUUGAUAAUUUGGAUGGAUUGUUGUUGUGAAGUGUGUGAUUGGCUACGAAUAUAUCUUCUGCUCUCGAUUUCGGUAAUUGAUCUAUUAUUUCCUGAUUAUUAGUUGUAUGUGAUUAAAUGAUGAACAAGCUGAUAACGAUCUUCGUUCCUAAACGAAUUUAGCCUUUGCAACAGAAAUCUUAUUGUUUCUGAUUAUUAGUUAUAUGUGUUCAAAUAAAUCUGCUUCUUUUGAUUUGUUAGAUUAAAAGUAUUUUGUCCAGUUUACAGUAUAUCAGCUUAUAAUCAUUUUGGAGUACUUUGAUUGUGUGAUCUGUUUUUUCUUCCAUGCCAAUUCCGAAACAUCAAUAUAUGUUGAUUCUUUGUGUUUGUCGAUUCGAUACUUGCAUAUCACUUGUCGAUGCGUAGACUUCCCUGAUGCAACUUCUGUUCGAAAUAAUGCCGUAUUUGUGAUUAUUACUUUGUGAAGGUGUCAGAGCUGCUGGAAGUCAAUGCUGAAGGAACUGACAAAUGAAUUUGAAGAAAGGAUGAACUUAAUACAUAAGGAACAGAUGGAGAAGUGGCACGACAAAAUUAAGCAACUUCGAUUACCGAUUACUUGAUGCUGCAAAUGAGGAGACUGAUGCUCUCUUACACAAUGCUAAAUAUAUGCUGGCUAAAACGGAGAAGCAUUUUGUAAGUUCAGUACAUAAAUUUUUGGAUCUAAUAUUUAACCACUUGUUGCACUAUAACAGUAGUAAUAUUAGCAUGGCAUUAAUCCGGUAUUAUGGUUCUCAGUACGUUUUGAGGGUUCGGAAUUAAGAUAAAUAAAUAAGAAAAACUUAAUUUGUUA